UACGUAGGUGGCAAGCGUUGUUCGGAAUUAUUGGGCGUAAAGGGCGCGUAGGCGGUCUUGUAAGUCAGCUGUGAAAGCCCGGGGCUCAACCCCGGAGGGUCGGCUGAUACUGCAGGACUAGAGUACGGAAGAGGUAGCUGGAAUUCCCGGUGUAGCGGUGAAAUGCGCAGAUAUCAGGAAGAACACCCGUGGCGAAGGCGGCUCUCUGGGACGGUACUGACGCUGAGACGCGAAAGCGUGGGGAGCGAACAGG
rnacentral:rRNA from 1 species